GGGCUUACUGGAGUGAGGGCUUUGCCUGCUAUCUCUUACCCAUGUCUUUUGAGUACUUACGUUUCCUCGGCGGGUCCGCCCGCCGAAGACAAAAAAUUAAAACCUUUGCAGUUGCAAUCAGCGUCUGAAAAAAACAUAAUAAUUACAACUUUCAACAACGGAUCUCUUGGUUCUGGCAUCGAUGAAGAACGCAGCGAAAUGCGAUAAGUAGUGUGAAUUGCAGAAUUCAGUGAAUCAUCGAAUCUUUGAACGCACAUUGCGCCCCUUGGUAUUCCAUGGGGCAUGCCUGUUCGAGCGUCAUUUGUACCUUCAAGCCUUGCUUGGUGUUGGGUGUUUGUCUCGCCUCUGCGUGUAGACUCGCCUCAAAACAAUUGGCAGCCGGCGUAUUGAUUUCGGAGCGCAGUACAUCUCGCGCUUUGCACUCAGAACGACGACGUCCAAAAGUACAUUUUUACACUCUUGACCUCGGAUCAGGUAGGGAUACCCGCUGAACUUAAGCAUAUCAUAGUCGCGGAAGGAAAG
rnacentral:rRNA from 1 species